rnacentral:tRNA from 1 species
UCCGGCUUAGCUCAGUGGUAGAGCGUCUCGCUGUUAACGAGAAUGUCGCUGGUUCGAGCCCAGCAGCCGGAGCCA